AGGAAUUAGCUUGCUAAUUUGCUGAUGAGUGGCGCACGGGUGCGUAACGCGUAUACAAUCUACCUUUUGCUGAGGGAUAGCCCAGAGAAAUUUGGAUUAAUACCUCAUGGUAUUAUUGAUAGGCAUCUAUUAUAUAAAGGUUACGGCAAAAGAUGAGUAUGCGUCCCAUUAGCUAGUUGGUGAAGUAACGGUUCACCAAGGCAACGAUGGGUAGGGGUCCUGAGAGGGAGAUCCCCCACACUGGUACUGAGACACGGACCAGACUCC
rnacentral:rRNA from 1 species